ACUAGAGUAGCACUCGCAUAUCAAUAAGCGGAGGAAAAGAAACUAACAAGGAUUCCCCUAGUAACGGCGAGUGAAGCGGGAAGAGCUCAAAUUUGAAAUCUUAAAGGGUUUCCCUUUACGAAUUGUAGUUUAAAGAAGUGUUUUCUGUUGGAGUUUCGGUAAAAGUUCUUUGGAAUAGGACAUCAUAGAGGGUGAGAAUCCCGUAUUUGACCAUUAUUUCCAACUUUGUGAUACACUUUCAAAGAGUCGGAUUGUUUGGGAAUGCAGUCCAAAAUGGGUGGUAAAUUUCAUCUAAAGCUAAAUAUUGGCGAGAGACCGAUAGCGAACAAGUACCGUGAGGGAAAGAUGAAAAGAACUUUGAAAAGAGAGUUAAACAGUACGUGAAAUUGUCAAAAGGGAAGCGUUUGACACCAGUGUUGUUUUCUCGAAAAUCAAUUAAAAAUGAUGGGAUUUUGUGUUGUAUUGACUUUAUCAGCUUUCUGCACUUUUUUCCUAUCUUUUUUAAUGCACUUUUCGCUUAACAAGUCAAAAACAAUCAAUUUCUUUUGUUGUAAAAGAGUCAUUGGAAGGUGGCUUUUUCUUCGGAGAAAGUGUUUAUAGCCUUUGGCUUCUGCAAUCGGAGAGAUUGAGGUCUGCAGCGUAGAUCCUUCGGGGUUAGAUAGCAUUUGUGCUAAGCUAUAGUUCUUUCAUAGACAACUUGUUGACUAUGAUCAGUCCUGUAGCUUACUCACUUAUGCUAUUUUACCUACGCUUAGGAUGUUGAUAGUCACAGCGUGUAC
rnacentral:rRNA from 1 species